rnacentral:rRNA from 1 species
UGGUGGUGUGAGUUGUCUGGUUGAUUCCGUUAACGAACGAGACCUUUGUUGUAAAAUAGGGGAAAGGAGCUUUUGCGCAAAGGCAUGGCGGUACGUGUUGGGAUCCGAGCAAUCGCCCCGGCACUCUACUGUCAUGUUGCAUAGCUACUUUCAGUUUCCCUUCUUUACGAGACAAUCAAAGAAAAAUUUAGAUGGAAGUUAUAGGCAAAACAA